rnacentral:rRNA from 1 species
GCUUAGGAAUCUGCCUAUUAGUGGGGGACAACAUUCCGAAAGGAAUGCUAAUACCGCAUACGCCCUACGGGGGAAAGCAGGGGAUCUUCGGACCUUGCGCUAAUAGAUGAGCCUAAGUCAGAUUAGCUAGUUGGUGGGGUAAAGGCCUACCAAGGCGACGAUCUGUAGCGGGUCUGAGAGGAUGAUCCGCCACACUGGGACUGAGACACGGCCCAGACUCCUACGGGAGGCAGCAGUGGGGAAUAUUGGACAAUGGGCGAAAGCCUGAUCCAGCCAUGCCGCGUGUGUGAAGAAGGCCUU